AGUUACUCUACACUGACUUGAGGAAGUUUCUCCUUCUCCUUUUUGGACUCUUAUCAUGGAUGACACAUUCACAACACUUAAAAAGAAGGAAACAGCAAAGACCGGCCACAUUCCUGAACUGCAGUGAGCAUUCAUUUUCUGGAAGACUGCACCAUGGAAGGAAACCAACUCACACUAACAAUGAGGAAACUGGACAGCCAGUGAUAAGGAAACAUCAUCUUUAAUCUUUGAUAUUCAUCAUAGUACUGAAUACCUCGGGUUAUGGUUCAGAGAAAGCAAUUUGUUGGAGAUGCCAAUCAGCAAUGGGAAAAGGGCCUCCAUCUAGUCCUUACUAACUGACAAAUGGGAAACCGGAGACUCCCCAGGCCUCGAGAAGGAAAUGCUACAGGGGUAUCCCAGUGUGAGCAUCUGGCCAUCGCUGUAGACCUGGUGUGCUGUGGAGUGCUCGUUCUGACACACGGGAGGAAAAGGCCAGAGUGAAUACAAGCGUCCCCACAGUAAGAGGCUGGAGGGCCUCUUGCUUUCAGGAACGAAACAAGCCAACACCCAGCAUGCCUGCCCAACCUCUCAUACUCUGCUUGCGUUUUUCAUGGACUGGAACCUGGCCAUGGGCUUCUCCUCCCCAAAUCCGACCAAUCACAAUUCCCAAAUAACUACCCUGGCUAUUGGCAACCCCAACCCUCAAACCACACACACUUUCUCAAACUACCUAUAAUUAUCCAGUUACUUAUAAAUGACAGCAUUGCCUUUUUAAAUAGCUACAAAGUUGAUUUGAACUACUA